UGCCACAGCCUGAGCUGAUCUCCUCUCUUUCAUAAACUUUCUAGCAACUCUGCAAGGUAGGCGAGCACUGUGCGCACUUCACAGGCGGCAGAGCCGACCCGGGCUCAGAGUGGUGGAGAACGUACUGCAGCCGCAGUCAGCGAGUCAGUAAGGGCAGAGCCGACCCAAGUCUGGCAGUGGUGGGCUUCCAAGCAUCUCCGAGGAGAGCGCAUUUGUUGGCCUCGUCGAAGCCCUUUCUCCCACCCCACUCGCCCAUCCCUACCCAACUCUGACCUCAGCCUGCCAAGGCAGAAGCUUGGCCCUCACAGUCUUCACUGGUCCCAAAAGGCACAGUUUGAAGCCCUUCUUCGGCUCACUGCCCACUUCUUCUCUGCGCAUUGCCAGUGGUUCUGGUUCUGGGAGGUGGGCCGCAGGCCAGAGGAACCUCGCCGGACAGGGCUUCCGGACCGUGGCCUGGCCAGGUGGGAGAACUAGUUCCCCUCGGAAACCUCCACCUGGAAGCUGUGAUCAGGAGAACAGGUCCUCGCCGCAGAGCCUCCCCUGCUCUCCCGAUGUAACGUGCCGAGGCCUCGGGCAAACAUCCGUCAGCUGCUGCCCAUCUGCGCCCGUGGCUUCUGCAGCAGGCCCGCAAAGCCAGCCGGAAGCUCGGGCUCCCACGUCCUCGCAGUCAGCUCCUGGAGCUGGAGCGCAGCGCAGCGAGGUCAGCACAGCAGCCUCUUGUUUCUCUGGCUCCCUAGGCACUGUGCGAAUGUGCUGGGCAACUGUGCAUCCUGCUCCUGCAGCUCCUCCUGGCAGGCAGCAGUCUGCUCCUCCACACCCUUCCGGAUGGCUCCCGGGACCCCCAGG
rnacentral:lncRNA from 1 species